UGUGAGCCACCGCACCUGGCCACAAGAGAGUACUUGUACUUGGCUGUACAACGUGUGUGCUUCACCCUGAAUUAUGAAGAGUUCCCUAAUCAAUGAUCACCUUUCAGAGGAGAAGAAUUUUAAAGAAUCCUGUCUGUUCGACAGGGAUUUAAGAGAGCAGUUAACUACUAUAGAUAAAGAAACACUUCAAGGAGCAGCUAAACCAGAUCUCCUCUGGCAAACACGACAUAUAAUAUUUUUAUAAUGGAUGGAAAGACAUGGUGGCACAAUUCUGAAGAAAAAAAUUUCACAAAACUUGCAAAAA
rnacentral:sRNA from 1 species